UGGCGACAAAAAUCACUUGAAGCUUGCAUUAUGCCGUUGAUGCAAACUGAAAUCAUAGUGAGUGAGAGCUUCACUACUGAAACGGCGAGUGGAACGGGGAUUGAAGGCUUCGAACGACGACUGAAACGGUAAUCAUGAUUCAUGACUGCAUGAAGAACUGAAACGACGAGUGAAAAUAAAUAUAGUAAAUCACCACUCUUAUGGUAACCAUGGACGAAUCUAAAUUGCCAACAUNNNNNNNNNNNNNNNNNNNNNNNNNNAAGAGCUGAGAAUCAAAGGAUUGUAGUUGUAAUUGAAUCUAUGAGUAAAACCCUAUAAUAACAAUUAACAAGUAAUCUAAAAUGUUAUAACAGAUAACCUUAAACAAUUUACCAAAUCAAAGGAAACCCCAAAUUAAAAACACAUCACCCAAUAACCUAAAAAACACAAAUUUCACCUUGAAAACACUAAUCACAAAAACCCAAUACAUGAAAACAAGUGUAGAUUGAAGGGUAAUUGUAAAUUAGAAAACUUAUCGAAACUAAGAGAUUGCGAUUGAGAAAUAGAAUUAGAACAUGUCGACAGCUUCGAACUGAUAAAUAGAAUCAGUGAAUGAGAUAUUGAAGCUUCAUGACUGCGAUUCAGAGAUUUCACUUCGUGAAUGAAAGACAUUCAAUGAGCAUUAGGGUUCGAGAAUGAGGGGGAAAGAACAAUCGCCACAGUCGAUAAGCGUUUUCAGCUUCGUGACUGAGGGAAAGUUAAGGGAAUGAGUUUUCCCAGAUGGGAAAUUG
rnacentral:lncRNA from 1 species